rnacentral:rRNA from 1 species
UACGUAGGUGGCAAGCGUUAUCCGGAUUUACUGGGUGUAAAGGGCGUGUAGGCGGCUUAACAAGUCAGAUGUGAAAUUCCCAGGCUUAACCUGGGCGCUGCAUCUGAAACUGUUGAACUUGAGUACUGGAGAGGAUAGUGGAAUUCCUAGUGUAGCGGUAAAAUGCGUAGAUAUUAGGAGGAACACCAGUGGCGAAGGCGACUAUCUGGACAGUAACUGACGCUGAGGCGCGAAAGCGUGGGGAGCAAACAGG